UACGAAGGGUGCAAGCGUUAUCCGGAUUUAUUGGGUUUAAAGGGUGCGUAGGUGGCCUGUUAAGUCAGGGGUGAAAGACGGUAGCUCAACUAUCGCAGUGCCCUUGAUACUGAUGGGCUUGAAUGAACUAGAGGUAGGCGGAAUAUGACAAGUAGCGGUGAAAUGCAUAGAUAUGUCACAGAACACCAAUUGCGAAGGCAGCUUACUAUGGUUUUAUUGACACUGAGGCACGAAAGCGUGGGGAUCAAACAGG
rnacentral:rRNA from 1 species